rnacentral:rRNA from 1 species
GAUGAACGCUGGCGGCGUGCUUAACACAUGCAAGUCGAACGGAAAGGCCCUGCUUUUGUGGGGUGCUCGAGUGGCGAACGGGUGAGUAACACGUGAGUAACCUGCCCUUGACUUUGGGAUAACUUCAGGAAACUGGGGCUAAUACCGGAUAGGAGCUCCUGCUGCAUGGUGGGGGUUGGAAAGUUUCGGCGGUGGGGGAUGGACUCGCGGGUUAUCAGCGUGUUGGUGGGGUUGUGGCUUACCAAGGCUUUGACGGGUAGCCGGCCUGAGAGGGUGACCGGACACAUUGGGACUGAGAUACGGCACAGACUCCUACGGGGGGGAGGAGGGGGGAAUAUUGCACAAUGGGCGGAAGCCUGAUGCAGCAACGCCGCGUGCGGGAUGACGGCCUUCGGGUUGUAAACCGCUUUCGCCUGUGACGAAGCGUGAGUGACGGUAAUGGGUAAAGAAGCACCGGCUAACUACGUG